AACGAACGCUGGCGGCAUGCCUAACACAUGCAAGUCGAACGAGACCUUCGGGUCUAGUGGCGCACGGGUGCGUAACGCGUGGGAACCUGCCCUUAGGUCCGGAAUAACUCCCCGAAAGGGGUGCUAAUACCGGAUAAUGUCUUCGGACCAAAGAUUUAUCGCCUUUGGAUGGGCCCGCGUUGGAUUAGCUAGUUGGUAGGGUAAAAGCCUACCAAGGCGACGAUCCAUAGCUGGUCUGAGAGGAUGAUCAGCCACACUGGGACUGAGACACGGCCCAGACUCCUACGGGAGGCAGCAGUGGGGAAUAUUGGACAAUGGGCGAAAGCCUGAUCCAGCAAUGCCGCGUGAGUGAUGAAGGCCUUAGGGUUGUAAAGCUCUUUUACCCGGGAUGAUAAUGACAGUACCGGGAGAAUAAGCUCCGGCUAACUCCGCG
rnacentral:rRNA from 1 species